CGGCGGUCGCUGCAAAACC
rnacentral:snRNA from 1 species